rnacentral:lncRNA from 1 species
CAAAAAAACCCACCCCCAAAGUUCAUUUAUACUAGACAAUUUUGGAGAACUACAAAGUUUUUUUAAAAAUUUAUUUUAACUGAAGGGUAAUUGCUUUACAGUAUUGUGUUGGUUUCUACCAAACAUCAACGUGAAUCUCCAAAGGUCAACUUGAAUGCUGAUGGGUUUACCUACGUCCCCUCCCACCUCCCUCCCCAUCCCACCCCUCUAGGUUCUUAAGUUUUCGUUCCCUGAGUCAUACAGCAAAUUCCCAUUGGCUAUCUAGUUUACAUAUGGCAGUGAUGUUUUCAUAUUACUCUCUCCAUAUGCACCCCCCACUUCCUCCCCACAAAGCUGUGUUCGUAAGUCUGUUAGAGAACUACAAAGUUUUUAUACUUGCUGCACAUUGGAAAGAAAAUGUCAACAACUAGUUUCUUUUGUACCAUAUCUAUACACAGGAAAAAAAAAAACUUGUUAAAAGGAAAAGAGGUUUCUGUAUUGUUAAUAUUUGACAGUGAAAGGGUUCCUUUUAAAUAUUUAAGGUUAAAUAUCCAUCUCUUACAGUUAUUACACACAUCUUCAUAUCAAGGGUAAUAUAUAAAGCACAACAAUGUAACUCAAGUAUACUUCUUUAAAAACUUGGAAAAAUAUACUAAGAAUAUAUGAUUUAUAAUUUAAAAAAUUUAGAAAAGUGUGGGUAAACAAAGCUGAUGCAGUCAUUUGAAGGGUCCAGAUGAAACACCAUGGACUCAACAAUCUGGUACAGUCCACAUACAAACUUUCUUCUGCUGUUAAUGAUGAAGUCAAGCUGAAGGACAGAAAUUUGUACGCUGGAUGCUCCAGGCUCUUCCAUGCAACUGACUGGUCUUCUCUUGUUUUUUUCCAUCAUGUUUUAAAUAAAAGUAAAUAUAUAUAUUUUACAUAUAUUUUAUGUAAAAAAUUUAAUUGGUACAAGAAGAUUUAAAAUAAUCAGUAAAUAUCCUUUUCGCCCAUAACCUAGAAAAUCUGAUGUCUUCCAAAUCAUCAGUUACAUGAAUAAUUUGCAAAGUGAAGUCAACCUUAGAGUCUCUUCAUCUGAAAAUUAUUCUCAGGAUUUCUGGAAUGUGUUGAUUCUCUCAUAUAUUACCUCUGUUACAGAGGAAAGCCAUGCAGUUUUCUAAAAAAAAAACUACGAAAGCAACUCACUCGCUCUGCUCCGAGAGAGCAAGUCCAGGCAACACCUUGUACUCCGUGGAUCUGGUCCUGGCUACAGGCAGAGGCUCUGGUAUCAACCAGAGACUCAGGGCGGGUGCCAGAGCUCGGCCCAGCCCUUCCUGAAUGCCUCGGAUCCUCCGGGCCAGCUGCACAUCCUUCGAGAAGAGUGUGAUGCGGCCGGCGUGUAAGGAGAGCAGAUAGGCAUCCUCGAAGAAAUGAACUAGAAACGCUUCUGCCGCCUCUUGUAGGGCCAACAGGGCCUGGGCUUGCCAACUGAAGUCCACACCGCGAGUGAACUGAACACAGAUUUCUCUUGCCAGGCGGCAGAAGGGGGACUUUCUUAACAGCAGGUGUGUGGUCUUUUGAAGAGCU